CCUUUAUACCAUAGAAUAAGAGAUGUAGAACGCGGAAGUUACGUUCCUGAUAGUUUUCCUCUCGUUCCCUGUCAACAAUUGACGAUAAUUAAUCUUAGCUACUCUACAACUUUCAAAGGUGCCAGGAGAUAAUUAGCACAGGUGGUCCCUCUGCCUUCUGCAAACACGUGCAGUAACAUGGAGAUAUUGCUGUGUGGGAACCCUAAGCCUAAAAAGGAGAGAUCUCCAACCCAGGUUCAGACAGUGAGCCCAGUUCCACAGCAUCAGGAAACAAUAAACACAGACAGAGGAACUCAAGACAGAAACAUCACCACUGCAUGGACUGCUUCACUAGUUUCUAUGAGCCAAAGGAGUUGAAGACACACUUGUAGGCCCCAACCCUGCUCAGACUGCAGAGACAGUUUUAUUUGUCCAAUUGACCUUAAAUCACCCCAACAGACUCUCAAAAGAAAGAAAACUUACCCCUGUGAUCAAUGGGGGAAUAGCAAACUAAAGAUGUACCAAGUAACUCAAAGGGA
ensembl:lncRNA